rnacentral:rRNA from 1 species
GACGAACCGUGCGAACGUUAUUCGGAAUCACUGGGCUUAAAGGGCGCGUAGGCGGACCGGAAAGUCAGGGGUGAAAGCCUCCGGCCCAACUGGAGAAGCGCCUUUGAUACUGCCGGUCUCGAGGGGUGCAGGGGCAUGCGGAACUCAGGGUGGAGCGGUGAAAUGCGUAGAUAUCCUGAGGAACACCGGUGGCGAAAGCGGCGUGCUGGACACCUUCUGACGCUGAGGCGCGAAAGCCAGGGGAGCGAACGGG